rnacentral:rRNA from 1 species
CAGCAGCCACGGUAAUACAGAGGGUGCGAGCGUUAAUCGGAUUUACUGGGCGUAAAGCGUGCGUAGGCGGCUUUUUAAGUCGGAUGUGAAAUCCCUGAGCUUAACUUAGGAAUUGCAUUCGAUACUGGGAAGCUAGAGUAUGGGAGAGGAUGGUAGAAUUCCAGGUGUAGCGGUGAAAUGCGUAGAGAUCUGGAGGAAUACCGAUGGCGAAGGCAGCCAUCUGGCCUAAUACUGACGCUGAGGUACGAAAGCAUGGGGAGCAAACAGGAUUAGAUACCCGAGUAGUCCCUGUCCCUUAUAC